AAGUUAUCUUUUCCAAUUUUCGUUUCCCUCCCAAAAGCAACAUACCACACUGUCAACCUCUCAUUGGUCAAAUACCGUAUUUUUCUAUGAUUCCAUUUCCCCUUCUUCUCUUCCUCUCUCCACCACAUUCUUCUUCUCUUUCUUUUCUCUCCUUUUCCGAGCGAUCACGCUUUCUACCACCGUAUCUCCUUUCCGACAGUCACUACUCACCAAGAUUCCAUUUUACUCUAAAAAUUUAUUGUUUUCUUGAAGCAAAUAGAUCCAGAUCUAAAACAUUAAUUUGGUUUAACCUUGCAGAUUUAAAGGAAAUCAUACAAAGGAAAAACUGAUGAAGAUGAAAUAGGAUCUACAGAAUGCUUUUCAAUGAUAUUCCACUACGUUCAAAUCGGCUGUUUCUUGCAGGGCUGAUUUGGUAAUGCGCUGUCUGCCGAGUUUAGUUCAGUGUUGGCUGGUUUUCGUUGGAGGGUGUCAUUCUGGGAGGCGUUUCCAGAGUUAAACGACAUCAUCAAUUUCGUGUAGUUACAACUCUGCUAAAAUUCUUAUCUCAGUAACAGAAAUUAUUCUAAUUUUUUCCAAUGUUCAAAUGGCUUCUUCUUUGCCAUUGGUGUCAGCUAUGAAGGAGUGAUACUACAUGCUACAUUUCGGUUGGUCAUACGCUGAUAAUCGGUUGAUCAAAGAAACAAUGACCCACUUGCUUUUAGGAGAGUUAACUUGCUCUCAUAAGGAAGAUAACUCUUACAAUGAAGAAUGGGACAGGAAAUUAGAGUACAAAAGAUAGCACUGAGGAUUGGGGGUGUCUCAACAAGUUGAAUGUUUCAUGUUUACAAUAUUUAAUUUCAGCUGGGAUCACUUGAUUAGUUUGAAAGCAAGGGUUUCUUUUUUAAUCCUUCUAUUAGUUAAUUAAGUAGAUAUAUUAACCCCCUCAUGCGAAGACUAUGCACAUUAUUUGUAUUUUUUGUUAUACUCCUAUUUUAUUUCAUCUGGCUGAUUAUUAUAAACCUUGCACUACCAGCUUUUGAUUUCAUAGUCUUUCUUAGUGCAAGAUAGAUUUGUUGGCUUUAGUAUAUAUUGUUCAGAUUUUUAUGUUACAAUUUUUAUAUUAAAUAAUAAAUUUAUAGUCUGUUGCCAAUGAUUCAGAAUUAAAGAAUAGUUAAUUUGGUUUAAAUU